CUCUGCCUUCCACUUUCUCAUGCUCUGCGACCCGCCCUGGCACCGUGUGCUUGUGCCAUUAUGCAAGUGAAAUAAAAUAACGAGUCAGCAAGUAUUAGUUAAAUUAUCGUUAGAGACAUGAGAAACGUGAUUCUGCAACGACUGAGCCUUGGGCAAUCCCAGGAGGAGGAGCAGGUAUGUCCAGUCCCUGCUGCAAUACAAGUUGGUGGCUCUUCAUUUCCCUGGGAGCAGACCAAAAUUCCCAGUGUGGGUGGAUGUCAAGGUCCUGAGCAGCUCUUUGGGUCUCCUCCUGCUCCAAGAUCUUCCCCAGAAGGCUACCCAAGCAUCUCCUGGCUCCAGGACAGACCAGGCGCUCCUUCCCACCCUAAUUUCUCUGCUUGGACACUCUUCUCAAUGCCUUCACCUGGAUACUCUUCCACACCCUAAACUCUCUCAACUGAGAUGACAAUAUACAUUGCGCACAUCUGAUGAACGACUGAAUAAGGAAUGAAUGAGGUACCCUCAUCCAGUGACCUUUGGGGGUGGGGGUCGGUUCUCAGAAAAAAGCGAUGGACAUUAUACUUCCCUGAUUGGAAGGGUCCAAAGCCUGUGUGAGACUCACCAAUUAAAAUGGAAAA